UACAUUUAUAUAAAUAUUGAAAAAAAAUAUGGGCACAAUUUUAAAAGAGGUACAAAAGGAGAUUUUUGUAAAAGCUUUUUUAGACAGUGUUACUGGAAUAGUUGGAGCAACAAAGUGUUUGGUCCUGGCACAAUUCUCAGGGUUACAGAUAAAAGUCCUGAAGACAUUCCCCCAAGCCCACAAUUUUUCUUCCUUCGAUUGCUGAAAUAAAAGCCCAUCAGCAGGGAAACACCGUGAAGACUAAGGACACAUACAUGAAAUUCAGCUGGGUGACUGUGACUGAAAAAUCAAUGGAUAAAGAACACCAAUGCAUUGUCAAAGAUAAGAGGAAUAAAGAAAGGGUUAAUCAAGAGAUUGAUUUUCCUUCAAUAAACAAAGGUAUGUGCAUACAAACAUGAAUACAACCUCCCAGAAUCCUUUGUUUGAAGAGAAAAACCUAACUUUUCUGUCAAGUAUUAAUGAAAACAUGCAAUUAAAAUUUUUUUCUAAUGUUGUUGCCUUUCAUGGUAGCAUAAAUGUCCUAUUUCCCCCAUAGACUUCAAAUAGUAUGGGCUUUGGAGGGCCUGGGGGACUCAGUAAACUGAGCAUCUGA
rnacentral:lncRNA from 1 species